AUCAUUUGUUUCCUAACCACAUAAAAAUAUAUUUGUUUUCAUAAUUUCCGAACAUUUUUUAACGAUGGUCCUUUUAUCUCGGAUAUACCUAUUUUCAUACAUUUCUUACUCCUAAAAACACACGGAAAUUCAAAAAAGGUUAAGUUCCAUAUUUAAAAUUAUUAGCAAUGACCUCUCUUUUACGUUAUUAAACAUGUUAUGACCUUAAUAUCAGGCAUCCGUGUCGAAACACACAUUACAUUGACCAUGAAUGAGCCUCUAUCUCUUUUAAUAGGAUGAUGUAGGGGAAAAAAAUCCUGUUGCAACUCAGGGGCCUUUUUCCUAGUAUAAACUAUAUCUAUAUUAUUCGUGAUCGUGCAUGGUACUAGCUUCUUCUUCAAUAAUAUGUGGCCACGCCGCAAUGGAACGGUCGUAGAGGUCUUGAUCAUGCAUGUUGAGUGGUUUGUAGUUGUCGCCCAUCUUUACCGCCUCACGAAACUUAUUCAUCAAAUGUCUCCGUUUCCCGCGAACACGGGACACACUAAGUUCACCACGGUAGAUGAUGGGUGACGUAGAUGAUGGGUGACGGGCCCUUUUUUAACUUCUGUAUGAGCGCCGGCACCGGUACGUCCCCGCCUUUGUAUUUCUUCUUCCUUCGGAGCAUCCCAUCGGCAUCAAUUAUUUGGCACUCGUCGUUGAAGUGCCAGUAGUUGUACUGGGGCCUUGGCCCCCGCUUCUUCUUGCUUAUUGAAUUUGAGUCGACGGAGACAAACGAUUUGCCACUAUUGGAGUCCAUGGCGCCGAUGUCAGCAGCUGACUCCUCAUCGCCGGAGGAGGAGAUAACAACAACGUCGUCGGCCUUCUUUAAAAAAAAGAAACCAAAUCAAACAAUUCUAAUUAAUUCUCAUGAUUUCUCAAACAUACGUGUAACCAACAUAUGUAGUUUUUUUUUGAAACAAGUAACCAACAUAUGUAGUUAUAUGAAAAGAAAAAACUAAUACUUCGCAUCUGUGCCCGUCGUGGUCUAAGAAUGCAAGGCCGUUGGAUUUGGUGGAGUAAUUGUCGACGUCAACAGCAGCAUCUUGAGAGGAGGUAUUGUCCACCUUUUUGUAAAAAAGAAAGAGAAACCGAGUCAAAUAAAAUUCUUACUGUGCAAUGUGUAUUCUCAGUGCAUUGGUGCAUAUAUAUAUAUAUAUUUUUUCUAUCUAUCUAUGAUCUGUAUAUAUACCUAUACCUACCUAUACUAAUUAGAGACUAUUUUCACGUUAAUUAAAAAAUACGAGCCAUUGAUUUUGUAGGAUCAAAUUAUUACGGUGUAGAUAAUCCUCUGUUGUAAUUUUGCACCGCUGUGAAUCCAACGCGUUGCUAUCAAGAGUCCUAUGCUCGCACGUACUCCUGAAGCAGCACACAAAGCGUAUAUGGUGUGGCCCCACUAUGUUCCCUAACAGAAAAAUCAAUCAACAAAUCUAAAGCCGUAACCUUCCAAGAUGCAAUCUCCACUCCCGGCUGUCUCUGCAGCAAGGUUGCUCCGACUCCACCAAUCAACCCCACGCCCCUACCCUCUUCCCAACCCCGCACAUAUACUUGACUUUUUAUGAUGUGAGGUUUUCUUUGCAGAAAUUUGGUACAAAUUGUCAUCAGCAUAUAUUAUUCUCUGGCUAAAGUUUCUUUUAAGGAGAUCAUUUGGUUCUUUAGCACUUUGUAGUUACUAAGUGCUUUUCCUAUCCUUUAUAUACUUCACACCGAAGCUCAUUGAACACUUCUAUUUCCAAAAAAAAAGGGGUUAAUUUCUGCCAUCUAGCUUCCCGAUACAGAUAAUUGGUUAGUUCACAUACAAAGAAAAAUAAAUGUAUAACUUUUUCAAUAGCGAUUGGACAUAUUAAUGAAUAUGUAAUUUCUACACUCUUCUCAGAUGACAAGGUUCUUAUUUAUUCCAGAUGAACGUACAAUCAUUGACAACCAAAUGUAAAGCUAUAUACAACACUUUAAUCUGCCUUUUAUUGAGAUUUUCUCUUACACAUGCCACAGUUCCCCCCAUCAUCAUAUCUGAUUCGGACUCCAUCGCUGCUACCUCAUCAAUCUCUCUCCCAGGUGGAGGCGCGUAUUAGGCAUUUAGCCAUGGGUUGCCCAUAGCUUGGACAAAUCAGUGGCUGGAUAUCUAUGUUGCCUAUAUACAUGUGCUUACUUUAAAAGACACACAUCAUCAGCACAAGGUCACUCUGUUUUUUACUUUUUCUUUAACCAGAAAUAUGGACUUAACACACAUAUAUUUUCAUUCUCAUGUAAUGGGAUAUAUCUUGGAAGGAAAAAAAAUCAUGUUGUAUCAUGUUAUAUCUUUGAGAUAGUGUCAUAAAAGAGGGUAUCCUCUAAUUAUAUAACCCACGCCUUUCUCUACAUGGAUGGGAUGACUAUGAAGAUAUGACCUGUGUACACUAUAAACGCUAUCAAUUUUAUGUAGAUUUAUUUCAGAUUUCAUUUUUGGAUGAUAAACAUUUAAUGCGAAAAAAAUUACAUCAAAUAAUCAAAAAUCUUGGUUGUGGAAUCAUUUGUAGUUUAGGCCAUCUUUCAAAGCGAGGCAUUGGAUAAUUUUGGUACAAGGUUUAUCAAGUUAGUAGACGGACAAAUACACAUUUGUCUAUAUACAUGGACUUGAAAUUAUUUUGUUUGCACAAAUGAUAAUUCGAUAGUGUAUAUAGACAUGCUAAAUUUGUGUUAUUUCACGAAUUAAUUGCAAUUAAUUUUUGGUACACAAAAUGGCUUUGUCUGGAAACGACCACAUGAGCCUCUCUUUUUUGACAUUGUUGGCAAUGGCUUAUUGUUGGCCCUCUUGUUUAAACUAUUUAGGAACCGGCUAUUACAUUGAAACGGAAUAUGCAAGAAAAACAUUUACUAAAAUAUUAUAUAUGCUAAAAUUUUAAAUAAUAACUAGCCCAUGUGAAUGCACGGGUUGGCAACUACUAUACAUGUAAUCAAUGAUCGACUUAUAGGAAAGAAAAAGAACGUACAGCACAUGUCUUCUUGUUGCCGGGGCCGUCGUCGGAGAAGUCAAGGUCGUCAAGGGAGGUCACGUCAGCGAUGUUCAUACCAAGCAGCUCCUCGUCGUCGUUGUCGUCCAGGAGGAUGACCUCCGAGGAGGAGACGUGAAUAGGCGCCAUGUGACACAGGUGGGUGGUUGUGUUGUGGAGCUGAAGGUGUUGGAUCGAUCAUCGUGUAUAUAUAUAGACAGAUAAAAUUUGCCUCCAAAAGUUGUGGUGGGAACGAGAGAAGCGUUUUGGCGCCAGAUGCCGUGCAUUGCCCGCCAGAAACUGCGUUUCCCUCUCCCUGCAAUGUAAUGAAGGAGAGAAUCAAUUUGGAUGGAUGAAAGGGGCGAGCGCAAUCGCAUCCUCCUUUCCAAUCAAUUGUUUCCCUCCUGUGGUACCUCCAUCGUACGCCACCCAUCGAUCGAUUAUUUGUUUCCUUUCUUUGCGAGCGACAAUCCCUCCCUUCCUUAUUUAUUAUUCUAUUAAGAUAAGAGGAUCAAGAAACAGAGGAGAAACUUGGGCCAUGGCGUACGUGACUCACCGGAAAUCAAACCAUUGACACGAGACCAUGACGUCUCCAUCGUCUCCUUCCUCUCCGGCGAGAGGAACAGCUCGCCACUUGAACCCGUUGAUCUCCGCCUACAGGUCGGCGAACGUGACGGACGGCAGCCUCGGGAUGAGCUAGCUCCUCGUCCUCGGUGUCGCCACCGAUCCGAUCCAAUCGACCCGACUAGGGCAAGGACGGCAUCGAUCAUGUGCAGCAUCAUCAACCAGCUGCUGCCGCCUUGGCCGUGCUGCAUCUUCGACAAGUACGUCAGCCAGCAAUAGAACAACGACGCGUCUUUGUGCACGCGCGUACGUACAUUACGUGCUUCAUCCACCGAAAAUUCAUGCACAUGCACAUGAUGCAUGCGUCCACCGAUCCACGUACCACGUACGUACGUGCACUCAUCCGUGACGCUAGCUAUCCUAUCUAUCUUAGUAAUAAUAAUGAAAAAUAAUCAUGCAUCUCAAUCAUCCAUUGCUUAUAUACUUAUUAGUUACCGAUCUAUAUUAGUUAUCGUACGUGGGUCAUGAUGAUGUAAGGGCAUCACUAGAGUUUUGGCUUUUAUCAGACUAGUGCUAGGCCGUCAGAUCGAAUGCAUGAUGAACGUCCGAUGUAGUAGCUAGUUGCUCCGGGUAAGUUAAUUCGCUUCUCUAAUUGAUUACUCCGUCAUAACUCUUUCCGCAUCCAUCGGCCUGGGUUGUUACCAUGCAUGGAUCUCCCUAAUUGCUGCUUCCUAUAACUACUUCUGUCAAUCGCGUGUGAUCCACCAUACACUUCGUCCUCCAUCCACGUCCAUGCUUCCUAUUCUUUUUCCUUUGCAACAAGGGUAACUGGGUAGGAGAAUUUAUUUGAAAUGUAAUAAUGGUUUUGCUUCCAUCGCAAUAAACUAUGUUUCCGUCGCUAGAAUAAUUUGCUUCCACUUUUGAGAUAGAAAUUUGAUUAAAAAAUUAAAUAGGUUGUUUUCAUCGCAGCAAAACUAUGUGUUGUCACAUUUUUUGGGUUUACUGUGGAGUUAGUUGAUUCACAAAUACUUGGAUGACACUUCGUAUACCCGAUUAUUUUGGAGAAAUUUGUUCAACAUUUUUCCUAGAUACUAGUAAAAUUUGCUGCUAUUGCACUACAAAUUUGCUUUGAUGUAAUUAAAAAUUUAUCACGUGUAACAUUCUAUCUUGUUUUCAGUGCAACAAAAUUUUGCUUCGACCGAUGAGACAAUUUGUUGCUAUUGCAAUCUAAUGUUGUUUUGAUGUAAUAAAAUUUUGUGUCGGAGCACUUUGCUUCCAUGUAAAAAAAUCAUCUAUUUAUUUCCAACACAAGGAAAACUUUGCUUCCGAAUGCAUUUUUCCACUUCCAUCAAAUGCAAAUGUUUCUGUGGUAAAAACAAUUUGUCUCCAACAGAAAAGAAGUUCGUUUCCUGCUUCAUUCAUUCAUAUACUAAGUUCAAGGCAUGAUACAAGGUUAUUUUCUUCCAAGUCUCCAAUAGUAUGUACACUGCUUCUAAGUUAAUAUCAUAUGUUCCUAUAGAUUGUAAACUUGCUUCUCUUCGCAUGUGGUCCUCUUCAUUGUAGGGAAGAUCCAUGUCUCAUCACACUUCUAGGUGCAUGCAUGGGUUGCUUCCAUGUAUGCUUCCAUAUAUGUCUACGGCGGCGCCCAACUGCUUGAAAGCAUACAUCACCAAAUACAUGAAAUAUAUGGAGCAUGACGAUAGUUUUUAAAUGCAAACAAUGCUCUUGACAAUGGGAGAAAAAGUAUAUAAACAGAGAAGUAUGUUUCUAUUGCUGUAAACUAUCUCGGCUCAAGAAAACAUAUAGUAAAGUUAUGAAGCAUGGACAUUAGGAAGCAUCCAUUGUUAUGCACUGUUUCAUAAAAAUAUACCAGAGUUUGCCCUACACUAUUAGGAUCCCUUUGUUAUGCAAUGUACAUGAAAGAUAACAUAGUUGUCCACAAUCAACCAUACAAUUGCCUAAAAGCAUGUAUCGAGCUGCCCAAUCCUCAUGAACAGAAACAUCACUAGGAGCAUAUUUCAACCAAUAUUUAAUGGUUUUAGAUACCUUUCAAUUAAGUUUGUGUUAACAACUCAAAGCAACUCAACUAAAGGUAACUUAGUACUAAAUUAUCCCCGUUCUGGGCGAGUGAUGUUAGUCUUGACCCAACUCGGUAUACUCAUGAUGGACGUUUAUAGUGACUCCGGUAUGCGAUAGCGUUAUCUGACCUUACCAGUGACGCAGUCAACGACUAGUAUGAUGAGAAGGUCGCGAUAGUUACCUCUAUGGUCCAGACCGUUGAAGAGUUGUGAUACGAUGUAGUAGAGGAUGUACUCGUAUGACGUAUAAGUGGUUGCACAAUCCCCAUUUCCGAUGAACUUGCUUGAUAUAGACGAGGGCCAUGCGACGACGCAGUGUGCAACGGAGUGAUGCCUUGGUUCCGAGGGGUGAUAUUCGCUUCAUUUUGAGGUAGUAGUGAUGGUUGUCGCAAGAGGUACAGGUCGAUCGUGUGCCAUAGUGAUCAUUGAUUCAUCAUAGAGGAGGUUGCAAGGGACGCAAUCUAGCAUAUGCUUCAAAAGGGAGGGACACGAGGGCGUAGUCUGGCGUCGGGGCCGUUAGAUAGGUUGGCCUGGCUCCUGGGCAACGGUGCCAGUGAGCGGUACUCCAGGUGACCGGACGGAUCAUCACGAGGUGGCGUUCGGCACGGUACACUAGGCAGCACGCGGACAAAUCGGUUGAUGAGGGUUUGGCGACCGCGGCGACACAACAAGCUAGGCAGCACGAGCAGUUGCUGGCGUGUAAGAAAACGUAGCCACGUACUAGAUGGCUUAGCUGCUGCCUGAUGGAUGGAUGCAUGGCGGGUAGGGUGCUGAUUGUGUCUGCUAGCAACGCAUGCAUCGCGCGGCCGUUCUGUUCAAGGCGUCCUGUGAGGGAGGGUGCGCUCGAAUCAACGAGCCGGCGCAGCGACGCUCCGUGGCCGGGUCCAAAAUACAGUAUAAUCAAGUGAACCAUCGAUCGAACUCCCAACCCAUCGCUCACUCCUAAAUGCUGCAUCCAGCUGAGCUAUCCCAAGGCUUUGUUUUAGAAAAGAAGAUUAGGAUUCACAUUAAAUAGUAGCACCGCUCUUUUUCAUUCUAUUUGACUAAUAAUUUAUAUAUGUGUGCAAUCUGAAAUCAGCAAGCCGUCUCAAGAAUCAAUGGAAGGAAUUAACGAGGGAGAGAAAAGCGAUAAAAUAAAGAAGGAAAAAGACGUGGCUGGAGGGGAACACACCUCGGAGGGCUUGUGGGAAAGAGAAUCACGUAAAAUGUGAGGGACGCCUCAGAUGAAAAUAAAGAGACUGGAUCCGAUGUGAUAGGACGUGAAAAUGAGGAAACGGAAGAGUUCUCAAGAGCUCCGCCGUGUACCCUCAAUUUAUUGCCACGGCUAUGGAGGUCACCCAUCGUGUUGGGUGAAGUUGCUGGAGUUUCGGCCGAGAAAUUCCUAUGGGAGGGGAGGGGGGACGGCUGGCAAUUCCUCAUGCUGUUGUGUUCGUGUAGGCGGAUCUGCCCCGGUGCACCGCACGCUGUGGUGGUGCAUACAGCGCUGGCGGCCAUGGUAUGAUAUAGUGGCAACCGUGGCCGGCACGACAAAGGUGGAUAUGUGGAGGAGCCGUGGAAGCACCCCUGCGCGCGCCCUCGCGUGGCGGCUCCACCCGCUGCCUGCUGCUGCCUUGAAAGUUGCAACGCCGCUGCUCUCUGCACUUUUAGCAAUCAUGGCAGCCCCAAGCCAUGCUGUUCUCGAUGCCAUAUUUUCUAAUUCGAAAUCUUUGCAUUUUUUUUGGUAUUUGCUGGGAUUGACCGUGAUGGUAAGGUGCCUAAUACAGACAAGGCACCACGCAGGAAGCUUCUCAUUAACGGGCACUGCCAUGUGGGUGUGGGAGGUCUGCGGCAACGCCUUCCGCUAUAGUGCUGGCGAGAACAUAUAAUCCUCCUAAAGAAUACAAGGUCAGGGUGAGAUAUCAUAUGCUCGUAAACUUCCAGGCCGUGUACUUAGAUGUCCCUUCUAUUUUACACGCGUUGUGAGUGUUAAUCAAGACAUAUAUAAUCCUGUCGAUGCACGUUCACACAACUACAUGUCCCUCCAAAUUUCCUCAGUUAAUACUUAUAGUUAUAUAUGAUAAUAUUAUAAUUAUUGGUGUUAUGAUAUUGGUCCAGAGUCAACUAUACAUUUACAAUAUUGAAGUAAUAUAUUUUAAGUUUGGUACAUGCAAAAAAGUUUACAACCCAUAAACACCUUAUGUGAUAAUUGAUAAACAAAUUAAUGUGGCAUACAUCCAUCCAUUUAUGGUAACUAUGAAUGCAAGUAUACAUCACAAUCAUUUGUUUCCUAACCACAUAAAAAUAUAUUUGUUUUCAUAAUUUCUGAACAUUUUUUAACGAUGGUCCUUUUAUCUCGGAUAUACCUAUUUUCAUACAUUUCUUACUCCUAAAAACACACGGAAAUUCAAAAAAGGUUAAGUUCCAUAUUUAAAAUUAUUAGCAAUGACCUCUCUUUUACGUUAUUAAACAUGUUAUGACCUUAAUAUCAGGCAUCCGUGUCGAAACACACAUUACAUUGACCAUGAAUGAGCCUCUAUCUCUUUUAAUAGGAUGAUGUAGGGAAAAAAAAUCCUGUUGCAACUCAGGGGCCUUUUUCCUAGUAUAAACUAUAUCUAUAUUAUUCGUGAUCGUGCAUGGUACUAGCUUCUUCUUCAAUGAUAUGUGGCCACGCCGCAAUGGAACGGUCGUAGAGGUCUUGAUCACGCAUGUUGAGUGGUUUGUAGUUGUCGCCCAUCUUUACCGCCUCACGAAACUUAUUCGUCAAAUGUCUCCGUUUCCCGCGAACACGGGACACACUAAGUUCACCACGGUAGAUGAUGGGUGACGGGCCCUUUUUUAACUUCUGUAUGAGCGCCGGCACCGGUACGUCCCCGCCUUUGUAUUUCUUCUUCCUUCGGAGCAUCCCAUCG
rnacentral:lncRNA from 1 species